rnacentral:rRNA from 1 species
CCUACGGGAGGCAGCAGUGGGGAAUAUUGGGCAAUGGGCGCAAGCCUGACCCAGCAACGCCGCGUGAAGGAAGAAGGCUUUCGGGUUGUAAACUUCUUUUCUGAGGGACGAAGAAAGUGACGGUACCUCCGGAAUAAGCCACGGCUAACUACGUGCCAGCAGCCGCGGCAAUACGGAGGUGGCAAGCGUUAUCCGGAUUUAUUUGGUGUAAAGGGCGUGUAGGCGGGAAAGCAAGGCAGAUGGGAAAAUUCAGGGAUCAAGCCUUUGCCUGCAGUUGAAACUGGUUUUCUUGAGGGCUGGAGAGGUAAUCGGAAUGCCGGGUGUAGCGGUGAAAUGCGUAGAUAUACGGAGGAACACCAGUGGCGAAGGCAGAAUGCCGGACAGUAACUGACGCUGAGGCGCGAAAGUGUGGGGAGCAAACAGGAUUAGAUACCCUAGUAGUC